rnacentral:rRNA from 1 species
UACGUAGGGAGCAAGCGUUGUCCGGAAUCAUUGGGCGUAAAGAGCGCGUAGGUGGCUGCAUAAGUCCGUUGUGAAAGUCAAAGGCUCAACCUUUGAAAGCCGAUGGAUACUGUGGAGCUAGAGUACGGAAGAGGCGAGUGGAAUUCCUGGUGUAGCGGUGGAAUGCGCAGAUAUCAGGAGGAACACCAGUGGCGAAAGCGGCUUCCUGGUCCAGCACCGACGUUCAGGCACGAAAGCGUGGGGAGCAAACAGG